CAUAGAGGCGGUAAGAGGACUUGCGGCGGGCCACUUCGGCUUCUUCUCCGGCCUGUUCUCCACGCGGCUUCCCGCGCGUCCAGUCGGCCACCAUGGGGAAGCGAGAUAAUCGUGUGGCCUACAUGAAUCCAAUAGCAAUGGCCCGGUCAAGGGGUCCAAUCCAGUCUUCAGGACCAACAAUCCAGGAUUAUCUGAAUCGACCAAGGCCUACCUGGGAGGAAGUAAAGGAACAGCUGGAAAAGAAAAAGAAGGGCUCCAAGGCUUUGGCUGAGUUUGAAGAAAAAAUGAAUGAGAAUUGGAAGAAAGAACUAGAAAAACAUAGAGAAAAAUUAUUAAGUGGAAAUGAGAGCUCAUCCAAAAAAAGACAGAAAAAGAAAAAAGAAAAGAAGAAAUCUGGUAGGUAUUCAUCUUCUUCUUCAUCGAGCUCUGAUUCUUCCAGCAGUUCUUCAGAUUCUGAAGAUGAGGAUAAAAAACAAAGAAAAAGAAGGAAGAAAAAGAAGAGCCGUUGCCAUAAGUCUCCUGAGACCUCAGUGUUGGAUUCAGACUCAGACAGCAAGGAUGGUUCAAAAAAGAAGAAGAAGUCAAAGGAUGUAACUGAAAGAGAAAAGGACACUAAAGGACUCAGCAAAAAGAGAAAGAUGUAUGAAGAUAAACCAUUAUCAUCUGAGUCGCUGUCAGAGUCAGACUGCGGAGAGGUGCAAGCAAAAAAGAAGAAAAGCGGUGAAGAGCGAGAGAGAACAACAGACAAAGCCAAAAAGAGAAGGAAGCAUAAGAAGCACAGCAAGAAGAAGAAAAAGAAGGCUGCCAGUUCAAGCUCAGACUCGCCGUAGCGUCAGGAAGACCAGGGUCCUUACAGAGUGCAAUGUCGAAGGAGCUCUCAACUGUGAAGAUGAUG